rnacentral:rRNA from 1 species
ACGGGGGGAGCAAGCGUUGUUCGGAAUCACUGGGCGUAAAGGGCGUGUAGGCGGUCCAGUAAGUGGGAUGUGAAAUGCCCCGGCUCACCCGGGGACCUGCAUCCCAAACUGCAGGGCUUGAGUAUGGGAGAGGAUGAGGGAAUUCCUGGUGUAGCGGUGAAAUGCGUAGAUAUCAGGAGGAACACCCAUGGCGAAGGCAGGUUACUGGGCAUUAUCUGACGCUGAGGCGCGAAAGCGUGGGUAGCAAACAGGA